AGUAAUAUCUUAAUCAUCUUAGUAUCUGGAAGACAACAGUUUUGGCCUUGAAGACCCCCACCCACCACUGGGUCUAGGGACCUCCCAGGAGUCCUCAUGCCACAUUUUGAGAAUCACAGCUCUGCACAAUCUUCAGGAUCAAUGACACCUACAUCUAGGCCGUGGUGAAAUGAGAAGUAACGGAGUCCCAGCAGUAAUGCGGCACUUGGCUGUCCCCUGGCUUCGGUAGACACUCCUUCGCCAGAAUGCUUCCUUCCAUGCGCAGAGGGGUCUUCCGUCUGUAACCCCUGACCUCUCUCUGCGCCUAUGCCCUCUUCUCUUCCCCAGGAAGAUGUGUGACCUAUCUCAUUGGUAAAUUUGGGGUGAUAAAACUGAGGCUGUCUCUGGAAGAGCAC
rnacentral:lncRNA from 1 species